rnacentral:misc_RNA from 1 species
GUAGGUGAACCUGCGGAAGGAUCAUUACCGUGGGGCUCCGGCCCCAUUGAGAUAGCACCCUUUGUUUAUGAGUACCCUUGUUUCCUCGGCGGGCUUGCCCGCCAGUAGGACAUUAAAAACCCUUUGCAGUAGCAGUAACUUCAGUUUAAAACAAAUAUCAAAACUUUCAACAACGGAUCUCUUGGUUCUG